UCUAUCUGGAAAAUGGCAUAUGAAACAAUUCAACAUCUUUGAAAUAUUAAUUCUUGAGGGUUCAGACUUGAAGUUUCCUGCAAGUAUCUGAAUUUGUGCACUCAUAUAUUUAACUCUCAAAGACGAAUGCAACCCAAACAAGAAGGCAUCUGAGAAGAAAACUCAUUACAUGCAUGACCAGCACCUUCAAUCUUGUUUGUAGUAAUCAUCACAAGUCAACUGCCAAGCACUGCACAAUUGAGGCACCAUUAGGAACAACAAGAAUCAUAUCCGACCACAAAAUGUUCCCACUCAACCCUCCAUCUUUAUCCUUCCACACUUCGAUCUCCGCACACAUAAUGUCAACCUCCUUACCCCUCCCUUUGCCUUCCCACACAACACACAACCUGUCAUCAAAAUUCACCAUUGUGGCACCACACAGAAACUUAGGCAACCCCUUAUCCACCCCUUUUAAUUCCUUCCACACAUCUUCCUUCACAUCAUACCCUCUAAUCUUACCCAAAUAAUCAUAACAAUACAACAGCCCUCCCACCACUGCCG
rnacentral:misc_RNA from 1 species